CCUACGGGAGGCAGCAGUGAGGAAUAUUGGUCAAUGGGCGCGAGCCUGAACCAGCCAAGUCGCGUGAGGGAAGACGGUCCUAUGGAUUGUAAACCUCUUUUGUCGGGGAGCAAAAGACGCCACGCGUCGCGUUCCGAGAGUACCCGAAGAAAAAGCAUCGGCUAACUCCGUGCCAGCAGCCGCGGUAAUACGGAGGAUGCGAGCGUUAUCCGGAUUUAUUGGGUUUAAAGGGUGCGCAGGCGGAAGAUCAAGUCAGCGGUAAAAUUGAGAGGCUCAACCUCGUCGAGCCGUUGAAACUGGUUGUCUUGAGUGAGCGAGAAGUAUGCGGAAGGCGUGGUGUAGCGGUGAAAUGCAUAGAUAUCACGCAGAACUCCGAUUGCGAAGGCAGCAUACCGGCGCUCAACUGACGCUCAUGCACGAAAGUGUGGGUAUCGAACAGGAUUAGAUACCCUUGUAGUC
rnacentral:rRNA from 1 species